rnacentral:ncRNA from 1 species
GCGAGAGUACGAUUACAAAACAGAAACUUAAAAUUUUGACGGAAAUGUAUGAUCAGGAGUGGAGCCUACUACUUAAUUCGACUCAACACGGGACAAAUCACCCACUCCCAACACCGGUAGGAUUAACAGAUCGAUAGCUCUUUCUCGAUGCCGUGGGUGGUUUUGGUGCAUGGCCGUUCUCAGUUGAUUCUGAUAUACAUACAGACAAUCACACACACACACACACACACACACACACACACACACACACACACACGGACACGGACACUCACACGUAUAUAUAUGUAUAUGCAAAUAUAUAUGUACAUACAUAAGCGUAUGUAUGUGAGAGUAUGUAUGUACAUGCAUACAUAAGAGUAUACGUGUGUUUGUGUGUGUGUGUGUGUGUGUGUGUGUGUGUGUGUGUGUGUGUGUGUGUGUGUGUGUGUGUGUGUGCGUGCGUGCGUGCGUGUCUAUAUGUACGUGAGAUUACGUGUACAAAAGACUUUAUUAGACAUAUAAUGUCGCCGCUAUUCUAUAAGAGUGCUGCCAAAUUAUGUCAAAUCUGAUCAAAUUUUUACCAAUCUUUGACUGUGUAAUAUACUUGAGAUGUAAAAGCACAACGUAAAAUUACACACGUGACGGCUCACACGUGAUAUGACAUUUAAUUGUUUAUUUAUUUCGUUAAUUUCGUAUCACUAACGAAACCUAAUUAGCGAGUCGCGAAAAAUUUAUUUUUAAAAUGUAUGUCGCCAAUUUCUAAAGUUCAUAUAUGUGUGUGUGUGUGUGUGUGUGUGUGUGUGUGUGUGUGUGUGUGUGUGUGUGUGUGUGUGUGUGUGU